rnacentral:rRNA from 1 species
AGUGAACGCUGGCGGUAGGCCUAACACAUGCAAGUCGAACGGCAGCACAGUAAGAGCUUGCUCUUACGGGUGGCGAGUGGCGGACGGGUGAGGAAUACAUCGGACUCUACUUUUUCGUGGGGUAUAACGUAGGGAAACUUACGCUAAUACCGCAUACGACCUACGGGUGAAAGCAGGGGAUCUUCGGACCUUGCGCGAUUGAAUGAGCCGAUGUCGGAUUAGCUAGUUGGCGGGGUAAAGGCCCACCAAGGCGACGAUCCGUAGCUGGUCUGAGAGGAUGAUCAGCCACACUGGAACUGAGACACGGUCCAGACUCCUACGGGAGGCAGCAGUGGGGAAUAUUGGACAAUGGGCGCAAGCCUGAUCCAGCCAUACCGCGUGGGUGAAGAAGGCCUUCGGGUUGUAAAGCCCUUUUGUUGGGAAAGAAAAGCAGAAGGUUAAUACCCCGCUGUUCUGACGGUACCCAAAGAAUAAGCACCGGCUAACUUCGUG